UCCAUUCUAAUCCUACUGUUAUGCCUCAUGAUUUGGCUGGAAUUGUUGGAUUUACAGAUACAAAAUUACAAAUACUAAUAGUGACAGAAAGAAAAGAGUAUUGUUGUUUCAUUAAGUUGUACACUUUGUGUAUCUUGUGUAAUUUUGGGGAUAGAUUGUGAAUUUAUGAUCUCCAAAAUUAUUUCUGAAAUUUAGUCAAUGUUCAUUACCUCUCUGUUGUAAAACUCAUUCUCUUUGAAAUUGUUAACAAUGGCAACAGAUAGUUGUGAGUUUAACCUUUUGCUUU
rnacentral:lncRNA from 1 species